GCAAGUCGAGCGGUAACAGAUCUAGCUUGCUAGAUGCUGACGAGCGGCGGACGGGUGAGUAACGCGUAGGAAUUUGCCUAGUAGUGGGGGAUAGCCCAGAGAAAUUUGGAUUAAUACCGCAUACGCUCUACGGAGGAAAGCAGGGGAUCUUCGGACCUUGCGCUAUUGGAUAAGCCUGCGUGGGAUUAGCUAGUUGGUGAGGUAAAGGCUUACCAAGGCGACGAUCCCUAGCUGGUCUUAGAGGAUGACC
rnacentral:rRNA from 1 species